UUAACCUCUACAAGAAACUUAGCAUCAUCGGCAAAAACCUGACUUCUUUGCUCGAACUCCUCAGCCAAACGGCUAAUGACGCUCAUGCUCGCACUCUUUUCCCGUUCGGUGAGGCUUGAUCUGGAUCGAGCCUCAUUGUUAUCCCAACAGUGCUCCACUGAUGUAUCGGAUCUCCUUUCGGUUUCAUCCAUGGCAAGGGAUUUUCUGGCGACAGAGAGGCUGGAUUGUAAGGA
rnacentral:misc_RNA from 1 species